rnacentral:tRNA from 1 species
CUGGAGCGAUGUCGUAACUGUCACCUAAACGUGACAGCCACUUAAAGACUUUAAAGGUUCUGUUUUUUGUACUACUGGUACUUGUUUAUUUAUGAUAUAUAGAUCAACCAUCUAUAGAAGUAUAGAUAGAGAUAAACAAGAGAAAAAAGAAGCCGAGUCUAACAUACAGGUAGACAAGGUUGAACUAGUCCUAUAGCUCAGUUGGUUAGAGCGCUACACUGAUAAUGUAGAGGUCGGCAGUUCAACUCUGCCUGGGACUACCAAGCUCAAGAACGAAGGAAUGACGCGUCAGCGGAAUGCAGCAAUUCUUGAUAACCUCUUGGGGGAUUAGCUCAGCUGGCUAGAGCAUCUGCCUUGCACGCAGAGGGUCAACGGUUCGAAUCCGUUAUUCUCCACCAUCUCUGAAAAAGAGAAACGAUCUUUGACAUGAUGUACAAAAAGUAAAAUUUUAGUAAGAGCUAAAAGUAUAUAUCAAACCGUACGUGAUUGAUAUUGUUAUUGAGUAUUAUUUUUUAAUUCUCAAUUCUCAAUUUUCAAUUUAAGAAGUUUGAAAGA